GCUACAUUUUGGUUCGUACUGCCAUUGUGAAGGAACGUAGAUCUAAACCAAUGAAAAGAAGUCUACGAAUGGCCAAGCUCUGUAUUCUAGGGACUCAAGUCCAAGCUAUUUCCUCAAAUUUGACGAGCAAAUCUCGCUGACAUCGUCUUCAUUCUGUAAUUUUUCGCAGGAUUGGUUACCUAUUCGGUGACAUGAAGCGCAACUGAAUUAGUCGCGUUCCUCAUUAUGUACGUUUGCAUACAUAUGAUUAGCCGAAAUAAUGGGGCCCACUUUAUCUCUAUGUUUCAUGAGAUUUUAUAUCAUUAUUAUGGUUACUCUUUAUAAAUACUUUCUGUACGAAUUUUACUUAUGCACGAUUGACGAAUUCUAAAGUAAAAAAUGAGGAGAUAAUAUUUAUUAAUUGUAAUUAUUCUGUGUUUCUUGUUUUAUAAUUAUACUUAAUUUUAGAUUAACUUUGUAGAAAUGGAGAGUUAGCGAUUCUACGACUACGUUAAUUAUUACUGCGAUGUUUACAUUUUUCACUUUUUUUCUAUUAUUACUGUCUGUCGAUCAACUCCUAAUGGAUCAGAGUACAGAGAUUGCAUUGAUGACAUCCACGAUGAACUGGUAUCGUUCCGCAUAAGAAGGCUCGCGCUUUAAUCCUGAUAGUGAUUUCCAAUAUUUCAGUCAAAAUCUCGACAGACAAGCUAAUAGAGAUAUCCCUAUCUAAGUUCAGUAACAUUCACCGAAUGAUUUUGGGAUAGAUUGGCGUGUGACCGAUCUUGGGGCGCUUCUACUACUAGAAAAGACUACUGAAGAGACUCUGCAACUGUAUUACUUGUUGCUGUUCUUCAAUCUGACACUACGGAUGCUAUAUAUGUCACUGAUUAUAGACACAUUCAGGGUGUUUGGCACGUUUUAUUUUUAUACCACGGUAUCCGUCCUAGGAUAUUACGUGAUAACGCAAUCUGACGUAUCGACGAGUGAUGUUCUCGGAAAUAAUUGUCGACACCUGAUAAAGUUCCAUCAACGAGAUUUUCGGUUUCAUUCAUCUACUAUACGGUAUUGUCACCCAUAACAUCACGGUAGCGGCAUAUAGCCUAGCGGCUCUCCUCGCAAUGCACAUAGCUGCAGAUGCACAUGUUUUGGUUGAAUCAUCUGGUCGACGGCCGAGAGGGUGUCGAUGACACUGUAGAUGAGAAAUUGGCGAAAAUUAUUCAACUGCCUGUACAUAUAUUGAAAUAAGUAAAUAUUGUAUACAUACACCUAUAAUUUUGACAUAUCAAAAGAAUAUAUUAUGCCUUUUAAAAAAUGAGAAAUUUCAUAAUAAGUACUCAGGUAUACCGGUUUUUUAUUUAACGUGAAAAUUUUGACGUAAGGAUUAAAGCAUAUCUAUUAUAAUAUCUUAUAAUAAACAAAAGUUAUUAAAUCUUCUGUUGCUUAUUUGAAUAUGUUAUGAACGUGUACGUAUAUAUUAUACAAGAUGUUCCAUUUUAAAAGAUCCACAUAAUUCUUCAGCCAAGUAU